rnacentral:rRNA from 1 species
CUACGGGAGGCUCCAGUGAGGAAUAUUGCACAAUGGGGGGAACCCUGAUGCAGCAACGCCGCGUGGAGGAUGACGCAUUUCGGUGUGUAAACUCCUUUUAUAUGUCAAGAAAAUGACGGUAGCAUAUGAAUAAGCACCGGCUAACUCCGUGCCAGCAGCCGCGGUAAUACGGAGGGUGCAAGCGUUACUCGGAAUCACUGGGCGUAAAGGACGCGUAGGCGGGGUUGGAAAGUCAGGUGUGAAAUCCUACAGCUUAACUGUAGAACUGCACUUGAAACUUCUAAUCUAGAGUAUGGGAGGGGGAGAUGGAAUUAGUGGUGUAGGGGUAAAAUCCGUAGAUAUCACUAGGAAUACCUAAAGCGAAGGCGAUCUCCUGGAACAUUACUGACGCUAAGGCGUGAAAGCGUGGGGAGCAAACAGGAUUAGAUACCCGAGUAGUC